UUUUUUUAAAAAAUGAAGUAUAUAAAAAUAAAAUCAUGCCUAUAUAUAUUUGGAUAGGUUUAAAAAGGACUUGCCACUAGCAAAACAGUACAUUUGAACAAAACCUAUGCAGAGAGGAAUUGAUGACAAAAUUAACCAAAAUGAAUCUGAUAGAAUUUGAGGGAGAAGGUGCCAUUUUCAUUUGGUAGAUAUUGGAAAAGACAAACUAUCUCUUAGAAUCGAUAUCAAGUUUAAAAAUUAUGUAACAUUACUAACUUGUAUAGUGAAGGACAUGAAAGUUUUUGCUGCAUGGUAAAGUAGGUUUGUCCUUUUCAUAUAAAAUUAGCUU
rnacentral:lncRNA from 1 species